rnacentral:rRNA from 1 species
AUGGCGGCCAGAUCGGACGAUCCCGAUGUCUCGCCGGAGUCGUCGUCGCCGGCGGCGGCGGCCGGCGGCGAGAUCUGGGGGACUCUCGAGGAGCUGCUGCUGGCGUGCGCCGUGAGUCGCCACGGCACCUCGAGCUGGGAGUCGGUGGCGUCGGAGGUGCAGUCGCGCAGCCCCUCCGCCGCCGCGCGCCUCACGCCCACCAGCUGCCGCCUCCGUUUCCGCCUCCUUCACCGUCGGUUCGCCGCCGGCGCCGACGAGGACGGAGGCGGGGAACCUGACCCAAACGCCGCCGUCUCCGACGCGUGGGUGGAUGAGCUCAGGAAGUUGCGGGUCGCCGAGCUCCGCCGCGAGGUCGAGCGAUACGAUCUCUCGAUCGGGUCAUUGCAAUCAAAGGUGAAACGGCUGAAGGAGGAACGGGAGAGGAGCCUCUCCGGCGAGACCACGCCGGCGUUCAAGGAUGAACGGGAGACAGGGAACGAUUCGCCGGAGGAGGCCGGCGGUGAGAACGGCCUCUCCGGCGAGGCGUCCGCCCGGUCAUGCAAGGAGUCCAACUCCUCAGAUCUGAAGCCACCGCCGGGGCACGACUCUGGCGGUGCCGCCGCCGACCACGACGCGGAGGUGAAGGAUGAGCCGGCCGCCGGCGAGAUGGCCGCGAAGGAUGAGGCCUCCGGCGAGUCGGCGGCCGGGUCGAAGGAAGCCGACGCGGUGAAGGAGAGCAGCGACGUGCAGAGCUCGGCCAGCCCGUCCCGUAAACGGCGUCGCCGGCUGCGGAAGGUAGGCGGUGGUGACGUGGCUUCCACGUCGGCGCCCGUGCCCCUCCCCGCCGCGGAGGCCCAGCCGCUCCUCGCCUUCCUCGAGUCGGUCCGCACCAGCAAGUCCGGCGCCGUGUUCGAGCGGCGGCUCGAGAGCCAGGAGAGCGGCAAGUACAAGGGCACCAUCAGGCGCCACGUGGACCUGGAGAUUAUCAGAUCCAGGCUGGAAUCCGGUGGGGCCUCUGGCGGGCCGGACAGCGCGUGCUACGCGUCGGCCUCCGAGUUCUACCGCGACCUGCUGCUGCUAUGCGCCAACGCGCUCGUCUUCUUCCCGCGUGGCUCGCCAGAGCACGCCGCUGCGACCAGGACUCGCGCGCUCGUCUCCAAGCGCAUCUCCGCGACUCUCCAGAGGGACGGCCUCGGGACGGCGGGGAAAGCUGCUCCCCUGGUCGGCGGUGGCUCCUCGACGGACGGCGCCAAGAAGGCCAAGGCGGAUGCCGAGGUCGCCGGUUCGCUCCUCGAGAAGGCCGCGCCCAUCAUUGUUUGCCGGAAGCGGAGCUCCAUUGCGAAGGCUGCUGCUGCUAACAAGGAGAAAGUGGAGAAGGAGGACACAGAUGAAGAUGAGGAGUUCGACGAGGGAAAGAAGAAGGGAAGCGCCAAGGACAAAGCCAGGGGUAUGAGGACCAACAAGGGUCGGGCUCCUGUCAGGAACGCAGCUCCAAAUCAGAAAACGGGGAAAGCUUCGGAGAGUGCCGCAGCUGACGAAAGGACGAAGAAAUCUGACAAGAUGGGUGGCAGCGGCAGCGGUGGCAAGGCGGCGGCAGCAGCAGGUGGCGUCAUCAAGAAGCGGAAUGCGGUGGACUUCCUGAAGCGGAUGAAGCAGAACUCAGUGCCGUCAACGGAGAGAGUUUCGUUGCUAGAGACACUGAAACUCUCUGCGACAGAACAGAAGAAGGCUGCCAAGGCUGAUGGCCGGAAAGAGCCGGGCAGCUCCUCCGGCUCCAAGAAGGCUGCCGAGACAGCGUCAGGAGGGAGGAGAAGCGUUGGCCGGCCGCCGAAACGGGCCGCUGCGCCUCCGACGCCUCCACCAUCCAAGAGGGCGAAGGACGACCGGCCGACGAGGAAGCGCGGGAAAAAGUGA